UACGUAGGGAGCAAGCGUUGUCCGGAAUCAUUGGGCGUAAAGCGCGCGUAGGUGGCUUCGUAAGUCCGCUGUGAAAGUCAAAGGCUCAACCUUUGAAAGCCGGUGGAUACUGCGGGGCUAGAGUACGGAAGAGGCGAGUGGAAUUCCUGGUGUAGCGGUGGAAUGCGCAGAUAUCAGGAGGAACACCGGUGGCGAAGGCGGAUCUCUGGGCCAUUACUGACGCUGAGGAGCGAAAGCGUGGGGAGCGAACAGG
rnacentral:rRNA from 1 species